rnacentral:lncRNA from 1 species
UGAUCAACCCUGGUUCUGUUAGUAUGACCAACCCUGGUUCUGUUAUGACGACCAACCCUGGUUCUGUUAUGACGACCAGCUCAGGUUCUGUUAUGACGACCAGCUCAGGUUGACCACAUGACGACCCCUGUGUUCCUCCUCCUCAUCACCUCCAUGUGUUCUCAGUAAAUCCCAGCCAAUUAGAACAGUCCAGAUGUGUGGUAUUGGGGUAGACCACAGGCUCUCACUACCACAUGACACCCUGCAGACCUAUACAACUAUGCUAACAUCAAAUCACUUCCUAGGCUUGUUAAAUAUCUAAAUAUUCGAUCAUCUCGAAGGCAUUCAAAAAAAGGGAAUUUUGAUUCUCUUAGGAGAAUUUCAAGUUCAAGCAAACAUUUGCUAGUUUUUUGUUCCUAUUUCUUACUUUAAUACAACAUGCUGACUGUUUGGGUAAAAUUAUACCAUUGUAUGAAACCUGGACAGGUGCCUGCUAACAACAGAAGGUACAGGACAGAUACAGUGAGCUCCAAAAGUGUUGGGACAGUGAUGUCGUUUUGGCUCUGUGCUCCAGGACUUUGGAUUUGAAAUGAUACAAUGACUAUGAUGUUAAAGUACAGACUAUCAGCUUUAAUUUGAGUUUAUUGUCAUCCAUAUUGGUUGAAUCUUUUAGCAAUUAGUGCACUUUUUGUACAUAGUCAAAACACACAUCACGACGAGAAACAACACAACACUACAUAAAGAGAAACCCAAGACAACCACAUAGCAUGGCAGCAACAAAUAACACAGCAUGGUAGCAACACAAAACAUGGUACAAACAUUAUUGGACACAUACAACAGCACAAAGGGCAAGAAGGUAGAGACAACAAUACAUCGCGCGAAGCAGCCACAACUGUCAGUAAGAGGGUCCAUGGUUUCUUUGAAUUAAGUCUUUGAAUGAAGAGAUUGAGAUAAAACUGUCCAGUUUGAGUGUUUGUUGCAGCUCGUUAAAGUUGCUAGCUGCAGCAAACUGAAAAGAGGUGCGACCCAGGGAUGUGUGUGUUUUGGGGACCUUUAACAGAAUGUGACUGGCAGAACGGGUGUUGUAUGUGGAGGAUGAGGGCUGGUAGUAGGCAUCUCAGAUAGGGGGGAGUGAGGCCUAACAGGGUUUUAUAAAUAAGCAUCAACCAGUGGGUCUUGCAACGGGUAUACAGAGAUGACCAGUUUACUUGACAAACACUUGGCAAUGAUGAGUGAGAAAGUUAGAGGCAUAAAAAGAAUACCCACAAAAAAUGCUAACCUCCCCUGUUAUUGUAAUGGUGAGAGGUUAGCAUGUCUUGGGGGUAUGAUAUAAAAUGCUAACCUCCCCUGUUAUUGUAAUGGUGAGAGGUUAGCAUGUCUUGGGGGUAUGAUAUAAAAUGCUAACCUCCCCUGUUAUUGUAAUGGUGAGAGGUUAGCAUGUCUUGGGGGUAUGAUAUAAAAUGCUAACCUCCCCUGUUAUUAUAAUGGUGAGAGGUUAGCAUGUCUUGGGGGUAUGAUAUAAAAUGCUAACCUCCCCUGUUGUUGUAAUGGUGAGAGGUUAGCAUAUCUUGGGGGUAUGAUAUUUGUACGUCUGUAACUUUCUUACUCCUCAUGAAUCACGAUUCUAUCAGGAUUAUUCGUUAUCAUGGUAUCGUCCACAUUAACGUAGGCGUUUAGAAACAUAUUCUAUUCUUCUUUACAAUAAAAGUUACUCCAAAAUAACACAAUACAUUAUUUACCAUUAAUUUCUACAGUCUGCACUUUAACCUCAUAGUCAUUGUAUCAUUUCAAAUCCAAACUGCUGGAGUACAGAGCCAAAACAACGAAACGUGUCACUGUCCCAAUACUUUUGGAGCUCACUGUAGAUAAUCCAUAAGGCCAGCAUCCCGGAGUCGCCUCUUCACUGUUGACGUUGAGACUGGUGUUUUGCGGGUCCUAUUUAAUGAAGCUGUCAGUUGAGGACUUGUGAGGCGUCUGUUUCUCAAACUAGACACUCUAAUGUACUGGUCCUCUUGCUCAGUUGUGCACCGGGGCCUCCCACUCCUCUUUCUAUUCUGGUUAGAGCCAGUUUGCGCUGUGCUGUGACGGGAGUAGUACACAGCGUUGUACGAGAUCUUCAGUUUCUUGGCAAUUUCUCGCCUUCAUUUCUCAGAACAAGAGUAGACUGAUGAGUUUCAGAAGAAAGGACUUUGUUUCUGGCCAUUUUGAGCCUGUAAUUGAACCCACAAAUGCUGAUGCUCUAGAUACUCAACUAGUCUAAAGAAGGACAGUUUUAUUGCUUCUUUAAUCAAAACAACAGAUUUCAGCCGUGCUACUGUAACAUAAUUGCAAAAGGGUUUUCUAAUGAUCAAUUAACCUUUUAAAAUGAUAAACUUGGAUUAGCUAACACAACGUGCCAUUGGAACACAGGAGUGAUGGUUGCUGAUAAUGGGCCUCUGUACGCCUAUGUAGAUAUUACAUUUUUUUUUAAAUCUGCCGUUUCCAGAUACAAUAGUCAUUUACGACAUUAACAAUUUCUGCACUGUAUUUCUGAUCAAUUUGAUGUUAUUUUAAUGGGCACAUUUUUUUGCUUUUCUUUCAAAAACAAGGACAUUUCUAAGUGACCCCAAAACUAUUGAACGGUAGUGUAUAUAACAACAGGAGUUAAAGGAGAGGUGUCUGAUAACAAUAGAAGGUACAGGACAGAUAUAUAACAACAGGAGUUAAAGGAGAGGUGUCUGAUAACAAUAGAAGAUACAGGACAGAUAUAUAACAGGAGUGUUUAGUGAAACUGGCAGGCUGUUAACAUCACUUUGUCACGGUCCGGACACCUCCUGGCUCUUCCUGACACUCAGCCUGAAUCUUCAUGGCUUCCAUUAACAUUAAUUAGAGAGGGGAAUUAUAAUUUACUCCAUGUGACAGAGAAAACUAAAAUGCUCAAAGUUAAAAAGUCUCCUCUUCUGGAAUGAUAACAUGCUAGUGAUCAUGGAGCAGAGAUAAACUGGAGAUAUUGUGAGAUGUUACAGGAGUUGUGUGGGGUAGUGCUGAUGUUAAACUGCUGCUCUUAAGGACACACAUGCACUUGACAGGUAAUUCUCCAAACUCAAAACACACUGAAAAUAAUCAAAGACAGAUCCUCGCUCUUGUAACCCAUCUGACAAAAACAAAAGCACCAAGUCUCUCCUGAAUAUUUGGCUGACAAUUCAGACCGUUCCAAAGUGUUUUGGUUUUUUAGUGGAUGUUUAGAUCAUUUAGAACGUUUAGAAAGUUUAGGGGUCGUUCGACGAAUUGGGUUCCUUUUGAAAAGUGUAAAAUAAAUAAAUAAUUGUUUCACCUAAUUUUAACAUUCUGUCAUUCAUUAACAUUCUGUUAAUAAAAAAAUUAAAAUAAAAACACAUUAACCCAUCUCAAGAGGUUAAAGAAAAAAAAACUAAGCUAACAUAUGGAAUUGUUUUAAGAUGUUCAUACAAUGGAUGAUUUAGCUAUUUCAUUUUGAAUUUUAGGACCCCUUUAGGUAUCGAAAUGAAAUAUUUACUACUAUAGCCCAUAGAAAUGUAUUGAAUUACGCAUUCAUAAAUGGAAAAAAAGACAGUCCAAAAAUAAAUCAUAAGGAAUAAGGUUUUGAAGUGUCUGUCCCAUGUCUAGGAGAUAUAAGAAAGCUCAGGACAUAUUUAACCCCUUACUUUUGUGGCCACAAAAGUAUCUCCAUACUUCCAUUGGUUUGUAUGGGUUACCUUUAGAGUCUCCCCUUCCAUAGAGAAGUCAUGUAUGGGUUACCUUCAGGGUCUCCCCUUUCCAUAGAGAAG